GAUGAACGCUGGCGGCGUGCUUAACACAUGCAAGUCGAGCGGACGGACCCUGCUCUUGUGGCUCUCUCGUGUGCCGCACACGUGUGAGAAACGCGUGUAUCCUCCCCUUAUCAGUCGGGGAUAAUCUGGGAACACGGGCUCUAACCGCAUAGAAUCUCUUGCAGCGCGUGGGUCGAUGGUGAAAUUCGGCGGUGGGGGCUGGACUCGCUGCUUAUCCGCUUGUUUGGGGGGUAGGUGAUUACCAAGGCUUCGAAGGGUAGCCGGCCUGAGAGGGGGACCGGCGACAUUGGGACUGAGAGACGGCCCAGACGCCUACGGGAGGCAGCAGGGGGGAAUAUUGCACAAUGGGCGGAAGCCUGAUGCAGCAACGCCGCGUGCGUGAUGACGGCUUUCGGGUUGUAAACCGCUUUCGCCUGUGACGAAGCGUGAGUGACGGUAAUGGGUAAAGAAGCACCGGCUAACUACGUG
rnacentral:rRNA from 1 species